GUUGAAUAUCCGGUAUCGAUAUACCGAUAUUGAUUUAAUGGCGAUAUUUUCGGUAUAUCGGUAUACCGAACAGUCCUAAUUGUAACUUACCAUUUUAUUACCAGUUGAUUCAGGGUAUUCCGAGGGUACAGUGUCGACAGCAAUCCCUUCGUCGUCUUCGUCAAGACUCUCUGGUUUUGCUUUCUCCUUCGUUUUUGAGACGUCUUUAACCCUAGGUAGCACCUAAAACACGAAAGAUUUACAACAAACAACUUGUUAACGGCUUGUUGGCAGACUUGCUACAAUUCAC